UCUUACGGAUGAGCAAAAAAGUAGCUUCUUGAGAUGGAAUCUACUCCUGGUGAAGGUGCUGUGAA
rnacentral:pre_miRNA from 1 species